rnacentral:snoRNA from 2 species
GGACAGUGAAGAUUGUAUCUAUUGGUCUCGUUCGUCGUAACAGGCUGCAUCUGUUUGCCUUGCCGACCAUCCUCAUAUAUUCCGAGUCC